rnacentral:lncRNA from 1 species
UUUUUUUUUUUUUUGGUCUUCGUAGGGCCACACCCCCAGCAUAUGGAGGAUGCCAGAUCCUUAACCCAGUGAGCAAGGCCAGGGAUUGAACCUAUGUCCUCAUGGAUACCAGUUGGGUUCAUUAAUGCUGAGCCACAAUGGGAACUCCCCAUAAUAGUUUCUACCUCUUCAUCCUCUACCCCUAUUCUGCCCCUCCCCCAAGACCCUCUACCCACUGGUAACGACUGGUUGGUUCUCUUUACCCAUUAGUCUGAUUGGAUUUGACUAGAAAGCUCAUUGGUGCAGAUAGGAAGAAUGUACUAACAGAGAGGGCCAGUGAAGAGGUUGGUCCAGAUUAGGGCCCACGCUGGGGGGUGGCAGUAGGAAUGGGGAGGAUUGCUCUGGUUGACUAACCUCUACUCACAUUUUAAGGCUCAGCACAGACAGCAGCUCAAUGGACCUUCAGUCUUAGGAGCUCUUCCUCUGGCGCCCUGAAACCCUUCUCCCAUAGCCAUAAGCACGGGCAGAGUUUGGUGGUGGUUAACAGCAAUAGUUUAGCUGGCUUUAAAGCUUUUUAAGCCAUUGCUUCUUGCCUGAACUGCUGACUAGUUGUGUGACCUUAGGCCAAUUGCUUAUUUGCUCUGUUGCCUAGGUUACCUUAUCUAUGAAGUAAAGAUAAUAAUAGUACCUAUCCUUUAGGGUUAUUGUGAUGAUUAAACGACUUAAUGAGUUUAAAGCACUUACACAGUGUCUAGCUGUGAUUAAGUGUGCAAUAAAAGUGGGUUUUAUUACCAUCACACCACUCUGCUGCAGGGGAAUCGCGUGUUUACGGUUCUGUCUGACCAAUCUGGAAGCUUCUUGGGGAUAGGUCUCCUUGGGAGCUCCCGUCAUGGCUCAGUGGUUAAUGAAUCUGACUAGGAACCAUGAGGUUGCGGGUUUGAUCCUUGGCCUCGCUCAUUGGGUUAAGGAUCUCGCGUGGCUGUGGCACAGGCUGGCAGCUACAGCUUGGAUUCAACCCCUAACCUGGGAACCUCCAUAUGCCGUGGGUGCGGCCCUAGAGAAAGACAAAAAAAAAAAAGACAAAAGAUCCAUUUAGGAAUUAAAUCAUGAAUCCUUGGGGGACUAACUGGACAUGAAGGAGAGGGUUCAUGAGGAGAAUAAAAUCAUUCCCAGGUUCUGGGACAGGAGGGUGAUGGGGAUGCCAUGGCUGAGACAGGGAGUUUGGGAGAAGGAGUUGGUUCAGAGGAUAAGUGGCUAAUCUGUCCAAGAUCAAAUCUAUAGGAACUAAUGAAGCUGAGCUUGGAACCCAGGUCUGUUCACAUUCCAUAGACAGUUUAUAUAACCUGCAUGUCUACACCUGGCACGGUACCUAACACAGUGGGUGUUUAAUAAUAUAUACCAGAUGAGCUUGUGAAUGCUUGAAUGAAUGGAUUUCUUUGGUAGAUGCCAGGGUAUCAGGGUUGCUUUUAUUUUAUGGCCAAACAGAGGUCUGUAGAGGUGGAGGGGGUGGGGCGGAAGAAAAACAGAAAGAAGAAAAGAAAGUCACCAUGAAAGAUUAAUGAAGGAAAAACUGGUCACCACUAUUUCAUGUGAAUAGACACGAGGAGCCAUCUUCCUUCUUGUCCCCUUUUUCUGACAUUUCAGGACUUUUUUUUUAUGAUCUCCAGCUUCAUAACAUACUCUUGCAAACUGCUAGGAGGGAUGACUAAAACUACCCACCAGGAAGUUUUGCAAAGUCCAAG